CUGAAGGCCUAUAGGUUCACCACUGUACUAACCUGUCACACACUUUAGACCUAUAGGUUCACCACUGUAUUAACCUGUCACACACUGAAGACCUAUAGGUUCACCACUGUACUAACCUGUCACACACUGAAUACCUAUAGGUUCACCACUGUAUUAACCUGUCACACUGAAGACCUAUAGGUUCACCACUGUACUAACCUGUCACACUGAAGGCCUAUAGGUUCACCACUGUACUAACCUGUCACACACUUUAGACCUAUAGGUUCACCACUGUAUUAACCUGUCACACUGAAGGCCUAUAGGUUCACCACUGUAUUAACCUGUCACACUGAAGGCCUAUAGGUUCACCACUGUAUUAACCUGUCACACACUGAAGACCUAUAGGUUCACCACUGUACUAACCUGUCACACACUGAAGACCUGUAGGUUCACCACUGUAUUAACCUGUCACACUGAAGGCCUAUAGGUUCACCACUGUACUAACCUGUCACACACUGAAGACCUAUAGGUUCACCACUGUACUAACCUGUCACACUGAAGGCCUAUAGGUUCACCACUGUACUAACCUGUCACACUGAAGACCUAUAGGUUCACCACUGUACUAACCUGUCACACACUGAAGACCUAUAGGUUCACCACUGUACUAACCUGUCACACUGAAGGCCUAUAGGUUCACCACUAUACUAACCUGUCACACACUGAAGACCUAUAGGUUCACCACUGUACUAACCUGUCACACUGAAGGCCUAUAGGUUCACCACUAUACUAACCUGUCACACUGAAGGCCUAUAGGUUCACCACUGUAUUAAUCUGUCACACUGAAGGCCUAUAGGUUCACCACUGUACUAACCUGUCACACACUGAAGACCUAUAGGUUCACCACUGUAUUAACCUGUCACACUGAAGGCCUAUAGGUUCACCACUGUACUAACCUGUCACACACUUUAGACCUAUAGGUUCACCACUGUACUAACCUGUCACACUGAAGGCCUAUAGGUUCACCACUGUACUAACCUGUCACACACUGAAG
rnacentral:lncRNA from 1 species